GCUGGACGGGCUCCCUGUAGGUGACAUUGUCUGAGAGUCUGUUCCAUCUCCGAGGGAGUCCAGCUGGUCGGUCCUUCCCUGUCUCAGUCUGCAGCUCUCAACUGUCUCUGGGGCUUGGACACCAGACAGGCAACGAGGAACCAUUCUACGUCAAGCCUCUUGAAAGUCAUUCGGUCAUUUGCUCGUUCAAUUGCUUAUUCUAUCAACAUUUGUGGAGUUGACCUCGGUCACACUCUAACUCAGUGGUCCUCAGACCUGAGCGUGCAUCCCUAGCCCCUGCAGGGGCUGAUUUAGUAGGUCCGGAAUAAGGCCUGAUAACUUGCAUCUCUACCAAAUUUCCAGGUGAUGUUGAUGCUACUAGUCUGGGGGGGAGCCACACUUUGACGGGACAGGUCCAAGCUAUUGUCAGCUAUUAAAGUCCACAUAUGGACCAGCUUACCAGGCCAUUGAAACCAGAAGCAUCCUCCCACGGGGAGGUCCGGACAGAGGAAGGCUUACGGAAGGACGUGGACCCCAGGGCGGGGGUCACCUGAGUGGGCUUCACAGAGGACUGGACUGUCGGGGAGAACACCUCCUCCGGGAAGCCAUCGUGAUUUCCCCCCUACCCUGCCAGCCUUCUGAGCCAUGGAUGCUGGGUGCUGUCGCUGGGUGCUGUCCAGCUGUCUUGACAUCAGCUGCCAGGCACGGUCCCUGUGAACGCCGUCACCAAAGUCUCACCUUUACCACUGGUGCCCUCUGACCUUGGUCAGGCCCUUGUCGUUGUCGUUGUUGCUGUUGUUGUUGUUAAGCUCCACUUGACCUAUUUAUGGAACAAAUGUGUUGCACUUGAAUUCUGAGGCUCUGCGGUGGAGUUGGGGUUUGUUCCGGGAGGCCGAGGCCAGGGUUUUGGUGGCCUCUUGCUGUGUGCCCCAAGUGUCGUUGAAAGAUCACGAGUAGGAGGCAGCAGGUCCUGGGCGAGAAUCUAUACCGGCCUCUCCACGACUGUGUGGCCUCAAGCGCAUCCCGCUCUGGGCCCCAGUUUCCUACAAAACAGGGAAACCUGCCAGGCCUGGCUUCCUUC
rnacentral:lncRNA from 1 species